AUGUCUUUUCUUCGCAUUCCAGAGUCCACUUCGGUUACUCGAAGUACAUUGCAUUUCAAAGCUCCUCAAGAACUUGUCAUGCAUGAUUUGGUGCAUGAUCUUGUAUCAAUAAUCGCUGCUGAUGAAUUCAUUGAUCUGGAUGCUACCAAAAGCACCAGCUGGAACAGAGCUCGUUACUGCCGACAUGCACAGUUAAACAACUUCCAGAAUGAUUCCAAGAUUUUCAAACAUAUUCCAGGCAAGCUUAGGUCCCUCCACUUUCGGGAUUUGGGGGGACUGCAACUCCCAAAAAAGGCAUUCUCUCAGUCCAAGUACAUACGUGUCUUGGUCCUAAGUGGACAUUCAGCUAAAUGUCAAUCUGCUCCAAGUAGCGUGGUGCUGCCAUCUUCCAUUAAUCAAUUGAAGCUAAUUAGGUAUCUUGAUGUGACAGGAUUGCCAAUAGCAUCACUUCCUGAGAAUUUUCAUGCACUUCAAAACAUGGAAACUCUUAUUCUGUCCAAUUCCUUGCUUGAAACCUUGCCUGACAGUAUUUGUUGCCUUCGCAAACUUUGCUAUAUGGACCUAUCUAGCAGUAGCAGCCUCAUUAAGCUGCCUGCAUCACUAGGAAAGCUAUCUCAACUCUUUUUCCUCAACCUGUCCGGGUGUUGUAUACUCCAAGAAUUGCCUGAAUCAAUCUGUGACCUUGCAUUCUUACACCACCUGGACAUGUCAGAUUGUUGUGCUCUUCAAAAGCUCCCUCGUGAAUUUGGCAGCCUUCCUGAACUCUCAUUCUUAAACUUGUCAAGUUGUUCAAAGCUCGCCAAACUACCUGACAGUGUUAGCUUUCCAUGUUUAAAGAAUCUGAACCUAUCAAGUUGCCAUGACCUAGAAAACCUACCAAUUGAUUUCGGCCACCUUCGGAAACUUGAGUUCCUGAAUCUCUCUGGUUGCUUCAAGGUUUUAAUGCUGCCAAUAUCAUUCUGCCAACUUAAUUGUUUGAAACACCUAGAUCUUUCUGAUUGUCACAACCUCCAAGAACUCCCUGAAUGUUUUGAUGAGCGCUCCGAGCUUGAAUAUUUGAACCUAACAAGUUGUUCUAAGCUCCAACUAUUGCCUAAGUCACUAUGCAAGCUGUCUAAGCUGAGGCAUCUCUAUUUGUCAUACUGUAUGUGGCUCAAAGAGCUCCCCUCCUCAUUUGGUGACCUUAAGCUUCAAAUACUGCACAUGAAUGGCCUUCUAGGUAUGCUUGACUUCCCCAAUAGCAUUGGUGACAUGACUAGUCUAACCCAGCUUGUGAUGGAUAUGGGAACUUUUUUGCUGCUUGAGAAGAUUUCAGCCGUUCGAAAGCGUCUAAAUAUACAUGAUGUACAUCAGAUAGAGGUUAGAGGAUGCAGUGAUAUAGUGGAUCUUGUGGGAGCUGAUACUUGUUCGGAAUUGAUACUUUCAGGCCUCCAGAAUGUCAAGAAUCCAGAAGAUGCAGAUGGAGUCAAACUGCAUGAUAAAUCAGAUAUUCGAGUACUAAAGCUUUACUGGGAAAAUGAAGGAGGUCAUUACUGGGAAAAUGAAGGAGAUCAAUCUGUGCUGCACAGGCUCGUGCCUCCUCGCACUCUUGAAGACUUUUGGCUACUUGGGUAUAGGAGCAAGGAUUUCCCUGAGUGGAUGUUAAAGAUCUCGUCUCACCUCCCUUUUCUCAGCGAACUGACUCUUGAUAGUUUGGAAGCAUGUGAUUGUCUUCCUCCAUUUGGGUCACUGCCAAAUUUGAGAAAGUUGUGGCUGAGAAACAUUCCCAACAUCAGGAAAAUUGGUAAGGAAUUCUAUGGAGAGGGCGGGACUUGUAUGAAACUACGAGCACUGCUAUUGAAUUUGAUGGAGAACUUGGAGGAAUGGUGGACAACAGAGACAAGUGAAGAAAACCAAGAGUUUCUAAUUCCUAAUUUGCAUUAUUUGGGUAUAGUAGACUGUCCGAAGUUGAAGUUCCUACCAUAUCCCCCAAGAAGUAUGAAUUGGGAUUUGAGCAGCAGUGAGACAGUUUUGCCGGACCGAGGAUUUGGCAACCUCGCAUCUUUCAUUUGUCCUUCUGUGAUGGUUCUAAGGAACUGUAGUUUCUCUGAAGACAAGUGGGGUAGACUUCAACACUUUCCCACCCUUGAGAAAUUUGAGGUAAACUCUGUUAGUGGGUUAAGGACAUUGCCAGAGGUCAUAGGAUGCUUCACCUCUCUCAGGUCACUAAUGUUGAUGUCGUUGAAGGACCUGGAGACACUCCCGGUAUGGUUGGGUCACCUCAAUUCUCUAGAGGUCAUUCAUAUAUAUAAUUGCCCGAAGCUGUCAUGUUUGAACAUGAAGAACCUCACCGCUCUUAAAGAACUGAUGUUGGAGUGCAAAUACUUGAUGAUAUUACCAGAAUGGUUGGGACAGUUGGCUUCUCUAGAAGAACUUACGAUCUGGGAUUGCCCCAACUCUUUGCCUGAAAGCAUGAAGAACCUCACCGCUCUUAAAAUACUGACGUUGAUAAACUGCAAAGACCUGCAGAUAUUACCAGAAUGGUUGGGACAGUUGAGAUCUUUACAAGAAUUUGGAAUCAAAGAGUUCCCCAAGCUGACAUCUCUGCCCGAAAGCAUGAAGAAUCUCACCGCUCUUAGAAAAAUGAGGUUGCUACAGUGCAAAGGCCGGGAGAUAUUACCGGAAUGGUUGGGACAGUUGACUUCUCUAGAAGAACUUUUCAUCACAGAUUGUCCCAGCCUGACAUGUUUGCCUGAAAGCAUACAGAAUCUCUCUGCUCUGAAGCUACUUAGAAUUGUUCGAUGUUCGAGUCUAAUUGCAAGAUGCCGAGGGAAGGAUGCCCGCAAGAUUCGUCACAUCCCCAAAGUCGUAUUCCGCUGA
rnacentral:rRNA from 1 species